rnacentral:rRNA from 1 species
UAAGCCUGUGAAGGUGGCCUGUGAGGGUUGCUGGAGGUAUCAGAAGUGCGAAUGCUGACAUAAGUAACGAUAAAGCGGGUGAAAAGCCCGCUCGCCGGAAGACCAAGGGUUCCUGUCCAACGUUAAUCGGGGCAGGGUGAGUCGACCCCUAAGGCGAGGCCGAAAGGCGUAGUCGAUGGGAAACGGGUUAAUAUUCCCGUACUUGGUGUUACUGCGAAGGGGGGACGGAGAAGGCUAUGUUGGCCGGGCGACGGUUGUCCCGGUUUAAGCGUGUAGGUGUGUGUUCCAGGUAAAUCCGGUUCACUUUAACACUGAGGCGUGAUGACGAGGCACUACGGUGCUGAAGCAACAAAUGCCCUGCUUCCAGGAAAAGCCUCUAAGCAUCAGGUAACAUCAAAUCGUACCCCAAACCGACACAGGUGGUCAGGUAGAGAAUACCAAGGCGCUUGAGAGAACUCGGGUGAAGGAACUAGGCAAAAUGGUGCCGUAACUUCGGGAGAAGGCACGCUGACAUGUAGGUGAAGUGAUUUACUCA